UCGAAGGAGAUCUUCGAAUCUAGUGGCGCACCGGGUGCGUAACGCGUGGGAUUCUGCCUUUGGGUUCGGAAUAACAGUUAGAAAUGACUGCUAAUACCCGGAUGAAGUCUAACGGACCAAAAGAUUUAUCGCCCCAGGGAUGAGCCCGCGUAGGAUUAGCUAGUUGGUGGGGUAAAGGCCUACCAAGGCGACGAUCCUUAGCUGGUCUGAGAGGAUGAUCAGCCACACUGGGACUGAGACACGGCCCAGACUCCUACGGGAGGCAGCAGUGGGGAAUAUUGGACAAUGGGGGCAACCCUGAUCCAGCAAUGCCGCGUGAGUGAUGAAGGCCUUCGGGUCGUAAAGCUCUUUUACCCGGGAUGAUAAUGACAGUACCGGGAGAAUAAGCCCCGGCUAACUCCGUG
rnacentral:rRNA from 1 species